CCUACGGGUGGCAGCAGUCGAGAAUCAUUCACAAUGGGGGAAACCCUGAUGGGGCGACGCCGCGUGGGGGAAUGAAGGUCUGCGGAGUGUAAACCCCUGUCAUGUGGGAGCAAAUUAAAAAGAUAGUACCACAAGAGGAAGAGACGGCGAACUCUGGGCCAGCAGCCGCGGGAAUACAGAGGUCUCAAGCGUUGUUCGGAACCACUGGGCGUAAAGCGUGCGUAGGCUGUUUCUUAAGGCGUGUGUGAAAGGCGCGGGCUCAACCCGCGGACGGCACAGGAUACUGCGAGACUAGAGUACUGGAGAGGGAACCGGCAUUCUCGGUGUAGCCGUGACCUGCGUAGAUAUCGAG
rnacentral:rRNA from 1 species